AUGUGCUUAAAUGCCACCACUCUGCUUAUGUCACUAUGUGACACACCCUUCCUACUUUAUAUAAACCCAGGGUCCUUGAGCAGUUAAUGUGCAUAAAUGCCACCACUGUUCUUAUGUAGUCUUAUGUCACCAUAAAGGUACCCUUCCUCACUUUGCAUUACAACAGAGGGUCCUUGGGCAGUUAAUGUCCCUAAAUGGAAUUAUUGUGUUUAUGUCUGUAUAACACCCUCACUUUGCAUAAAAACAGGGUCCUUGGGACAGUUAAUUUGCUUAAUUCACCACUGUCCUUAUAUUAAUUUAGAACCCAAUGGUCCUCACUCUGCAUGAAAAGUGUGGGUCCUUGGACAGUUAAUGUGCUUUAAUGCACCACUGUAAUUAUGUCACUGUGGGACCCACCCUUCCACACUUUGCAUAACAACAGGGUCCUUGGGCAGUUCAUGUCCAUAAAUGCUGACCCAGUCCUUAUGUCACUAUAGAACCCACCCACCCUCGCUUUGAAUAAAAACAAGUUACUUGGGACAGGUAAUGUGCUUAUAUUGGCUACUGUCUCUACUGUUACUCUGGAUCCUGUAUACUCCCAUCCCUGUGCAUUUUCUGGCAGCCAAUUUGGUAUUGAAAUGUACUUAAAUGCAGCUGUGAUUACUGCAGCUGUGAUACCUGUAACUGAUACCUUUUGUUUGUCUGUUUUCCAUCUCCUCUAGGUCCUUUUGCCACAUAGGAGAUGGUAGUUAGGCCCGUCAAUGGGGUUAAUUAAAGCUGCUAUCCCUUCUGGUAGUCCAGCAUCCCAUGCACUCCAAGUGUGUUUACGUUUACUAGGAGUGUAUUUGGUUAUGCAAAGUUGCCUAAGUGCAGCAAUGGACUCUUUUCUUUGUCUAGAUUCCCAUGUACCCCCCAGUCUUAUUACAAUUGCCAGUAGGGCAUUUGACACUGUCAGUGUGCUUAACUGACGAUUUCCCUUCUGUAAUUCCAGGAUCACUUCCUGCCCUUUUACCUUUACAUCACCUAGGAGGGUUUUUGGAACUGUUAAAAGCAGUUAUUUGGCAGCAACUGUCCCUUUUGUCAGUCUGGGAUCCCAUGACUUCCAUCUCACUUUGCAUUACAAUAGGUCCAUAACAUUGGACUGUUAAUAUGCUUAGAGGCAGCUGUGGUCCCUUCACUUAGUCUGGGAUCCAUGUCCUGAAGCAUGUUUUGUAUAUGGCGUCCUUAGGACUGUGAAUGUGUUUAAAUACAGGUGUGGUCCCUUUUGUUUAGGAACAUAUGAUCUUUUGCUUUCUUUAUAUCACCUGGAGACUUAAAAGUUUAAUUGUAGCUGUGGUCUCUUGUUAAUCUAACAUUUCAUUUUCUCCCUACCUAGUUUGCAUUACAACACAGGGUACUUGGGACUGUGAAGGUGUAUCCCUUACAGUCAUAUCUGAUAACAGAAGAGGACCUGAACUCCAAGGCCCCUUUUGCACUGUUAAUGUACACUUUGCUUUAGUCCUGUCUCCUCUGCAGUAGACAUGGCCCUCACUCAUUUUCCUUAUUCAGCAGUGGAUGCCCUUUACUAAGGACCUUUAUACUAGUAUAGUUAAAGUGAGUCAUGAUCACUGACCACGACUAUGUCUUUUAUUUAAGGUCCCUGUACCCUCUUCAUUUUACAAGAAGGUGUAUUAAUUACCUGUUACUUUCCCCCCGCAACUAUUUAUGUGCAGAAUUUCCGUAUUUAUGGCCCCCUCCUUUAAACGGAUACCCCAUUGUUUCUAUAUUAUGGCACGGGAUGCUAGAGACCCAAAGUUCUUCUCUUGGGACUCUUAAUGUGCAUAUUCUCUGCUGUUAAGGUAAUAUCCUGCCUUCUUUGUAGCAGAGAUUGCUGACCUUAAAGCCCUCUCUUGUGCAUAUGUUUAAUUAGUUGUCCAUGAUCCUUUGAAUUAACUUGGGUUCCUGACUCUUCAUACCCUGCUUGGUUUACUGUGUGGAGUACUGUCCACUUAAGGCCCCUUUCUCAAACUGUUAAUGUGUAUAAUAAUUACAUUAGGAUCCUUCCUCUUCUCACUCCCUUUGAAGUGCCACAAGGACUCUGCAAAUGUUAAUGGGCACAAUGGCAACUAGCAAUGGGUUUUUCCUCCCUGGCUUCAAUUUCUCGUGGCAUCCUAAAUUAUAAACAUUGCAGUAUGCCCUUAACUUAUUCUCCAAACAGCAAUCCAUACUCCCGCUCCUUUUGCAUUACUCCAGGCCAUGCUCCCAAGUAGUCAUGGUCUUGCCCUUAUCUUCCCUCUCCCCACUUCCUGCCUAUAAUUGGACCCUUCUUUUGGACCAUUAAUAAUCAACAAUUUCAGGUAUCCAUGCAUCCAGCCGUUAGAUAAUAUUGUGGUCCAUCAUCUUUCCUGCCCCUUCCCUACCCUGCCCCUUUUGCAUUGUCGGUGGGGAAUGUUGACUGGGCAAGGCCCUUUAACUUGAACUUAAAUCUUAACAAUCCCAGAUGUUACUGGUUUACCCAGUUUAAAUUGCUGUGGUGCUUCAGUUGCACUUUCCUUGGUCCCGCCCAUCUGACAUGGACCCCUCUGCUUCCUAUUUUGCAUUGCUUCUAAGUAAUGCUGACUACCCAAAGGCCUUUCUGUGUUGUUAACACAGUACUGAUUGUCCCAUUCCCCCGCCCAUCAGCCCAACACCUCCCUACCACUUUGAUGUUGUAUUUGUGCAGUGUUGAUUACCAAAAGCAGGCCUGAACUAGGGGAUGGGCCUUCGCUCCUUUUCUUGUCCCAUUCUUGGGCAGGAGCUAUUUAAAUUAAUGAAUUGAAAUUAUUGUCCCAUUCUUGGGCAGACAGGAGCUAUCUGCCCACCUCUGUUGCUACUUGACUAGGCAAAAGGUUCAAGGCAAGUGAAGCCCAAGCAGCUGGAUUGCCACCCUUUACAUGCUGGAUUUCCAAUAUAUAUAAGUAUCAGUUGAGAGUUGUCUCUCCAGGAAGGAACGUUAGCACUGUCUCUGUGUUUUUCCUUCUAAAGCAGGUUGCCUGUCUAAGAAUCUCUCCUCUUGUAUCUUGCUGUUCUACAGAGUCAAUUGGCAGGAUACAACCAAAAAGUGACUGUUAAACUCUUUAUUAAGACAGACAUCUGGAUUGCAAGGUGGAAUUGAUAACCUGGUCAUUAAAUUUUUAAACUUAAAAAUGCAUUUAUACCUUGUACCUGAUGACCAGUGUCUCUCAUUUUACUAAAGGCUGGUGGGUCUGUGGAUAGACCACUGUGACUCUUGCUAUACCAAAGGAGUUCUAGAAUGGAACUCGUAAGACCAGUAUCUUUGGGCUCUACCACCAUUUUAAAACCAUGCCUUCUUUGGGCUUUACCACCAUUCACUUUUUAAAAAACUACCUAAAUUUUUUAAUCCUUAAAUAUCUUCAUCUGGAACAUCAACCAGCCCCUACUUGUUUCAAGAAGAUUACUGUAAAAGGAUGAAAUGAGACAACAUAUACUGAGGUACUUUUGAAAGUCAUAGAUCACCUUACUUGCAAAGUCUAUUACAUAAAACACACUGUUUAAUUGUGCUCAUUUAAAGGAGGCUUAAGCACCCCACUGAAAUGAGGACUUAAAAAUUAUGGGAUUUGUUUCCCUAUUUUUAUAUCAAAAGAAUAAGCCAAGAUCUAAUCAUUCUUCUUGACAUAAAUGUGACAGCGUGCUGUGUGGUAAAAACGAGUAGCGUGGCCUGUAGUGUACAGGGUGUGGUUGCAGAGAAUUCCUUAAUAAGGAACUACUGGAGCAAAUAACUAGUUGUCACAACAGCAGUUUUUUGUAAUUACUGAAAAGGGAUACUAUAAGGUCAGCCCAGGUCAGGGUGCAGUUUGUACUUCUAGCUCCUUGGACAGCUGUAAGAAGAGUCUCUGGCUCUUUAGAAUACUGAUAUUCUGAGCAUGUGAGAUCUGAAGACUACAAGCAACUCUAAGAAGGUCCAUACUCAGCAGAUCUUUCCUUUUGAGAAUCUGGAUAAACUCCAGCUAAUCUAAGGAUGGCUUGCAGACCACCUGGAGAAAAAGGUCUUCCUCAGAAGAAUAGGCUUGCUGCUUUACAGUGUUAGUGACCUAUUCCCUUUGACGAUCCCUAGGUGGAGAUGGGGCAUGAGGAUCCUCCAGGGGAAAAGCUCACUACCACUGGGCAACAACCCUAGGCUAGGAGGUUCUACCAUGAUUCUUUCCUGGGUCCGGAUAGGAAGGUGAAGUCGCAAGACAUUCUGCACACAUCAGACUCCUGAUUGUUCCCUUUGUAUCUACCAAAUCGUUACCUUUCUCAAAAGCAAUGAAGAGAGCAAGAAAUUUGAAUACAGCAAAGGAAGAUCAACGUGCCUGGCACUCUGUCCUAGAACAGCAGAGCGAAAGUCAUUUGUGCCUUGUCUUAGAUGUCUCUCUUUUCAUUUUGUUACUAAUUGUCUUUGUUCUCCUAGAUCUGGCUCUUCUUUCACUGUUCUUCCCGUUGUGUCUCUGAGUCACAUGCUGUGUGCUUUUUGCUCAUUCCUUGUCUUGUCUACCUCUCUUUGUUCUUUGUGAACUCUGAUUGUUUGUCACCCCCGCCCCUUUUGUUAGUUUGAUGUUUUGCUUUUUUCUGAUUCUGGCCUCCCUUCUGCUUUUUCUACUCUACAUCUUGGAUUUCUCUUUUCUAUAUGUCCUUUCUGCCUCUCUUGGGCCAUUUUCUCUUCUUUUUUCCUGCUGUGUGCCUCAGUGUCUCUUUGUUCUAUGUGACUAUCCAUUUCACCUUUCCUCUCUCUAUUCUAUUGUUUCUUUGCUUUUCCCCUUCUACCCACCUUUGGGUAUUUCAGCCUCUUCAUGAGUCUUGUCUCCUCCUCUGAUUUCCUGCAAUCCUCUCUUUUCUUCUUGCACACUUUUUGUCCAUCUGUGUGUGUACACCAAUGUGUGUAUGUUUGUGUGUUUGUGAGAAAGGGGCUUCCUAACCCCUUCUCAAUAGGUGCAGAGUCUGCUGUCAAAAUAAGCAUUGCAGAGCUGUUCCUUAUGCCAGGACGUCCUGUGAGAUCAUCCAAAACUAAUAGAAGGCCCAAGGAUCCAAAGACCUAAGAUGGACAGAUGGUAGAAAGCCUAUAAUGGAUAGAAGUUCCAACGUAGAAGACAUGGUCUGAGACUUGAGACCUAUGGACUAAAACAGAAAACCUGUGUCCCCAUCAGAAGCCUCGAGCCAUGAUGUGUAUACAGAAGGUGGCCCUUGUUGGACAGAAGACUGGACUGAAUUGGAUAGAAGUCUCAUGUCUUGAGUUAGACAGAGGCUGAAGACCCAGGUUGAGAGGACAAAGGCCUAAGAGCCAGGGACACAUGUAAAGCCUGAGAUGUAAGACAGACAUUUUAAGACUAAAUUAGGUGGGAAGCUGGAGUCCCACGACUCAGAAUCCAGGAAGGCUUGAAAUCCCCAAACCAGAGGAAAUCCCAGUGUGAGAGCCCCAAAGCUCUUUUCUAUUGUUACCCUCCUCCAUAUUCUCCCUUUCCAGUUUUCAUAUCUCCAUUUAAGCCCACUUAUUUUGAAAUGUCCUUCUUGAUGCUGUUGUUACUUUGAAGAAGAGAUAUCUUGAGAUUGGUGAUAUUAUGCCUGGGCCAAUCUAAGGCAGUUUUUAUCAUAGUUUUGAGUCAUUUAUUGUUUUAGGUUUUGUUAAAGAGUACAUUUCUUUUCACCUCCACUCCAUUUGAGAGACACACAUAGGUGAAACUGUAUUUCAGUCUUCCCUUUUGCUCGGAAGCUCUAAAGAGGAAAACAUUAGGCUAUUGGGUGAACAGUGCCAGGUUAUCUAGAGAAGAUGUGAAGAGAUGCUCCAGGCCGAUGAGAACCGUUAGUCAAGAAAUACACUGAUGUGCCAGCAUGCUGAGAGGCAUCAGCCUGCGAUACCUGACUUCUUUGAGCUUGGUGAGCAGGAUUCCUGGGGUUUGGGAUUCCUAGUGAUGGUUACACAAAAGAAUGAGUGGGCCUGGUACAGAGGUGAGGCCCCAAGGAGACAGCCUGAACUCCCUGCUCAUAGUAGUGGCCUAAUAAUUCGGUAGGACUGCACCAACCCUGCCCUUGGGUUGAAUACCAACCUCCAAGCUUAAAGAUGACAAAUUUGGAAGUACUUAGUAGGUAUAAAUCUUUCCUUGAUUUUUUUUAACCCCCUUUCCAUGAGGAAAGAUCAUUUAAAUGACUGAGAAUACAUAUGAAAGCAAGGUAUUCUCAUGAAUUGUGUACUGGCAGCUAUACACAGCUAGUAUUUGAAAGUACGCUGUCAGUUGUGACGUGUUAUGUAUGUCAGGAAUCACCACGGCCUGUGCUAGGCACUAAAGACUCGAUGAUUAUUUGUCAUCACAUCCAGGUGACCUGAAUAAAAAUGUGUGACUCUGCUUUUAAACUAUGCAAGUGCUUAAAGCCUUACCAGUUUCAGAGUUGAUAAAUGAAUAUUGAUUACAUAGAAUAUACUUUCUACUGUCUAGAUACUGUGGAUACAAACAUUACAGGAAGCAUGAAUAAAGUGCUUUGUAAAAAUUAGGUAAUAAUAUGCUGAUAUUAGUAAUUAAGUGACUGGUAAAUUAAGAAUUUAUAUUUAUAGCCAUCAUGUUUCUGCUGCUUUGGUGAUUUGAGUAAAAACAUAGUCUUUCAGGUAGCAGAAAACACAUGGAAACUGCUUUUAAACUAUAAAAUACACAGCAAACUCAACGGAUUAAGCUAUUGUGAUGACUUAUAAUGUGCCAGAUAAUAUGCGAGGCACUGUGAUUAAUGAAGGGGCGAAAUAUAUUCUCAAUAUAGAAUUAAAAAUUUUAUAUAAGUGCAUUUUAAAGUGGUUUGUAACUAAAGCACUAUCAAUGGGCUAAAUGUUUAUGAAUGAAUGAAAAAGUAAAUAUUAAUUGCCUCUUAUAUGCCAGCUAUUGUUUUGGAUUCUGUGAAAUCUAAGAUAAUGCUCCCAAGUAAAAAAAAAGGGAGGUUUAGCUCUGGCCAGUUUGGCUCAGUGGUUGGAGCAUCGGCCUGUGGACCAGAGUCCCGGGUUCGGUUCCCGCUAGGGGCACGUACCAGAAAAAAGGGCGAGGUUUAUGUUCUACAUAAUUUAGAUGUAAGGAAUUAGUUAUUGCUUAUUUUAAUCGAUCAAGACUUUACUAGAGAUGUCAGGUUACUACCAGUAUAUUUUCCCAGGUAACAAGAAAAUGUAAUGAGUGAGAUUGAGCUUUCUAAACUAUAAAGUACUGUAUAAAUAUAAGAAAUUAGCCCAGCCGGUGUGGCUCAGUGGUUGAGCGUUGACCCAUGUACCAAGAGGUCAUCA